GCUCGAAGAACAUAAGGUUUGCGUCGGCACAAGUUAAGUUGAAGAACUGAUGAUUAGUUAGAAGCUAAUACUUGAAAAGUUAAGUUAUUUAUUCUUUAUCUAAAUAUGACUUUUUAAUUUCCUUAUUAUGUUCACUAUCUCAAUUUAUAUUACUAAGGUUAGUACCUCUACCUCAUCUCUACAUAACUUCAUGAUAGGGUUAGUAGCUAAUCUUUAAUUUUAUUAAGUUGCAUGGUGGAGUCACUCCAAAAGUCAUGUUGGGUUUUUUUAAUAUUUUUGUUUGAAUGACUUCUUUUGUUUGAUGUUUGAAUUGAAUUGUUUGUAAUAUAGUGUGAUGAUUGUUAAUUAGAAAUAGAAAAUUUAUAAACUCUAAUUUGUUAAAAUGUUAUGUGCUUGAAGCUUGGAGCUUAAAGAACAUAAGGUUUGCAUCGGCACAAGUUAAGUUGAAAAACUUAUGAUCGGUUAGAAGCUCAUUUUAAAGGUUGGAGCUCGAAGAACAUAAGGUUUGCGUCGGCACAAGUUAAGUUGAAGAACUGAUGAUUAGUUAGAAGGUGAUACUUGAAAAGUUAAGUUAUUUAUUCUUUAGCUCAAUAUAACUUUUUAUGGAUAUUCUUGCCCCUGUUGUAGCUAUAUUGUUUCUUAUCUGGUUCAACCAUUGCACCAGAAAUUGUUGAUACAUGUGCAUUUACUUGUAAUUACCUCUACUGCAAUUUUUCCUUAUUAUUUCUUUUCCGAGUUUGAUAUAA